ACACUUCCAUCAAACAGUACCUGCCCCUCAGGUGUGCUAGGGAAUAAAUGAAAUGCCUGGGACAUCAUCAUUAAGUGGCGUCUGAUGCAUAAGCAAUGCCCUAGGAAUGGGGGUGCCUGCCUUGGUCUCUAAAGGAUGGGUUCAAAAGGCAAGAGCAACACACAAGAAGAUAGCUUCAAGCAGGAGAAAAAGCUUGGCCAAGGGCCCAAAGGGGAUAUGACCCUUCAGAUUGGCCCUGACCUCUGGGUUGGAUUACCAGUGACACAAUGAACAUUUCGUUAUGAGGCCAUCCCUUGAGCAAACUGACAUGCUGAAAGCUGCCCUAUGGAGAGGCUCAUGUGGCAAGGAACAGAGGGUGGCUUCUGGCCAACACCCAUUGAGGAACUCAGGCCCUCAGUCAAACAGCCUGCAAGGAACUGAACCCUGCCAAUAACCCUGUGUUGAAAGCUUCCCUUUGGAGAAGAACUGAGGGCUGUCUCUGGUCAAUAGCACUGAGGAACUGAAUCCAGCAAACAAUUAUGUGAAGAAACUUGGAAGCUUGUCCUCCCCUCCAGUUGAGCUUUGAGAUGACUGCCGCCCCAGUGGACACCUUGAUUGAAGCCUUAUGAGAAACCCUAAGCCAGAGAACCCAAUUAAGCCACACUUACAUUCCUAA
rnacentral:antisense_RNA from 1 species